UAGGGAAUCUUCGGCAAUGGACGGAAGUCUGACCGAGCAACGCCGCGUGAGUGAAGAAGGUUUUCGGAUCGUAAAGCUCUGUUGUAAGAGAAGAACGAGUGUGAGAGUGGAAAGUUCACACUGUGACGGUAUCUUACCAGAAAGGGACGGCUAACUACGUGCCAGCAGCCGCGGUAAUACGUAGGUCCCGAGCGUUGUCCGGAUUUAUUGGGCGUAAAGCGAGCGCAGGCGGUUAGAUAAGUCUGAAGUUAAAGGCUGUGGCUUAACCAUAGUACGCUUUGGAAACUGUUUAACUUGAGUGCAAGAGGGGAGAGUGGAAUUCCAUGUGUAGCGGUGAAAUGCGUAGAUAUAUGGAGGAACACCGGUGGCGAAAGCGGCUCUCUGGUCUGUAACUGACGCUGAGGCUCGAAAGCGUGGGGAGCGAACAGGAUUAGAUACCCUGGUAGUCCACGCCGUAAACGAUGAGUGCUAGGUGUUGGAUCCUUUCCGGGAUUCAGUGCCGCAGCUAACGCAUUAAGCACUCCGCCUGGGGAGUACGACCGCAAGGUUG
rnacentral:rRNA from 1 species